AGAGUUUGAUCAUGGCUCAGAACGAACGCUGGCGGCGCGCCUAAUACAUGCAAGUCGAGCGAGAAGGUGUAGCAAUACACUUGUAAAGCGGCGAACGGGUGAGGAAUACAUGGGUAAUCUACCAUCGAGUGGGGAAUAACCAACCGAAAGGUUGGCUAAUACCGCGUACGCCUCCGAGUCUUCGGGUUCGGAGGGAAAGCUGCACUGUGAGUGUAGCGCUCUUUGAUGAGCUCAUGUCCUAUCAGCUUGUUGGUAGGGUAACGGCCUACCAAGGCUUUGACGGGUAGCUGGUCUGAGAGGACGAUCAGCCACACUGGCACUGCGACACGGGCCAGACUCCUACGGGAGGCAGCAGUAAGGAAUAUUGCGCAAUGGGCGAAAGCCUGACGCAGCGACGCCGCGUGGGGGAUGAAGGUCUUCGGAUUGUAAACCCCUUUCGGGAGGGAAGAUGGAGCGAGCAAUCGUUCGGACGGUACCUCCAGAAGCAGCCACGGCCAACUUCGUGCCAGCAGCCCGCGGUAAUACGAAAGGUGGCAAGCCGUUGUUUCGGAUUUCACUGGGGCGUACAGGGGUGUUGUAGGCCGG
rnacentral:rRNA from 1 species